rnacentral:rRNA from 1 species
GAUCCUGCUCAGGAUGAACGCUAGCUACAGGCUUAACACGUGCAAGUCGAGGGGCAGCAUGGUCUUAGCUUGCUAAGGCCGAUGGCGACCGGCGCACGGGUGAGUAACGCGUAUCCAACCUGCCUUACACUCUUGGACAGCCUUCUGAAAGGGAGAUUAAUACAAGAUGUUAUCAUGGGUAAGCAUUUUCGCAUGAUUAAAGGUUUACCGGUGUAAGAUGGGGAUGCGUUCCAUUAG